rnacentral:rRNA from 1 species
UACGGGGAGGGCAAGCGUUGUUCGGAAUUACUGGGCGUAAAGCGCGCGCAGGCGGUUCUCCAAGUCAGUGGUGAAAGCCCGGAGCUCAACUCCGGAACUGCCAUUGAAACUGUUGAACUUGAGGACGAGAGAGGUGAGUGGAAUUCCCAGUGUAGAGGUGAAAUUCGUAGAUAUUGGGAAGAACACCAGUGGCGAAGGCGGCUCACUGGCUCGUAUCUGACGCUCAGGCGCGAUAGCGUGGGGAUCAAACAGG